UACCUGGUUGAUCCUGCCAGUAGUCAUAUGCUUGUCUCAAAGAUUAAGCCAUGCAAGUCUAAGUACGAGCUCUCGUACAGUGAAACUGCGAAUGGCUCAUUAAAUCAGUUAUGGUUCAUUUGAUCGUACAGUUUACUUGGAUAACUGUGGUAAUUCUAGAGCUAAUACAUGCGAGAAGCGCCGACCUCGCGGGAGGCGUGCAUUUAUCAGACCAAAAACCGGCCGCGUCUUCGGGCGCGUUCGCCUUGGUGACUCUGGAUAACUUUGCGGAUCGCACGGUCUAGCACCGGCGACGGAUCAUUCAAGUGUCUGCCCUAUCAACUUUCGUCGGUACGGUAUUUGCCUACCGAGGUUCUUACGGGUGACGGGGAAUCAGGGUUCGAUUCCGGAGAGGGAGCCUGAGAAACGGCUACCACAUCCAAGGAAGGCAGCAGGCGCGCAAAUUACCCAUUCCCGACGCGGGGAGGUAGUGACGAAAAAUAACAAUGCAGGACUCGUUCGAGGCCCUGUAAUUGGAAUGAGUACACUUUAAAAGCUUUAACGAGUAUCCAUUGGAGGGCAAGUCUGGUGCCAGCAGCCGCGGUAAUUCCAGCUCCAAAGUAUAUAUUUAAGUUGUUGCGGUUA
rnacentral:ncRNA from 1 species